AUCUGUCUCGUGCUCCGCAAGGACAGGCACAGACCUGAUCUUGAAAGUGGAGAUCGUGGCACGGCUACACCGCCACGAGGACACCCCUGAGAUGCUCCAGUGGGAGAAACUGGAUGUACCAAAGGGCAGGAUAGCUGGAAGCCGGAGAUGAGGUGAGAACGCUUACUUGUGUCUCUUUAUUUUUAUUGCCAGUACGAACUCAGGACUGCCUGGCUCUGAAGUUGAAAGCAAAUAAACCAAGAUCUGCUAUGUGAGCCUACUGUGCU
rnacentral:lncRNA from 12 species